rnacentral:misc_RNA from 1 species
GAAAUUAGAGUUAAUAAAAACAUACUCCUUUAGUUAAUAAUAUCAUAUGAUUAUUGUAAUUCAUCUCCCUCUGUUACUGAAAUUCAUCUUUUCAUAAUACCGUAUCGAAAGCAGAGACAAGGAGAGAUGCACCUCGUCCUUUCCCCACCUAGCCGGCGGUUUGGAGCCAAUCAUCGCCGGGAAAGGAGACCAAGACGACGACGACGACGAACUUGAAGCUGUGGAACUUGAUUGUGGUUUAGAGAGAGGCAACAGGUACUGGGAGUGAAGGCGACGAAACCCACCAAGAGCUAGUACAACGGAUCUCAGUUGUUGGAUACCGCAACCGAUAUUAGCCGAGUGCCUAGUACAGAUCAACUCCCAAAGCCUCUCGUCCUGCGCUGUACGGUGCCACUGCUUGCUCACACAGGCUGCCCUCCCC